rnacentral:rRNA from 1 species
UUCAAGCUACGAGUCUAAACUGCACAUGGUGAAAUACGCUCUGCUGCAGACGGGUGACUAACGCGUGGUAACGUACCUUUUGGUUCGGAACAACACACGGAAACUUGUGCUAAUACCGGAUAAGCCCUUACGGGGAAAGAUUUAUCACCGAAAGAUCGGGCCGCGUCUGAUUAGCUAGGUGGCGAGGUAAUGGCUCACCAAGGCGACGAUCAGUAACUGGCCUGAUAGGAUGAUCAGCCACAUUGGGACUGAGACACGGCCCAAACUCCUACGGGAGGCAGCCGUGGUGAAUAUUGUACAAUGGGGGCAACCCUGAUCCAGCCAUGCCGCGGGAGUGAUGAAGGCCCUAGGCUUGUAAAGCUCUUUUGUGCGGGAAGAUAAUGACGGUACCGCUAGAAUAAGCCCCGGCUAACUUCGUGCCAGCAGCCGUGGGAAUACGAAGGGGGCUAGCGUUGCUCGUAAUCACUGGCCGUCAAGGGCGCGUAGGCGGGUCUUUAAGUCAGGCGCGAAAUCCUGGAGCUCAACUCCUGAACUGCCUUUGAUACUGAGGAUCUUGAAUUCCGUAGAGGUUAGUGGAACUGCGAGUCUCCGCGUGAAAUUCUGAGAUAUUCCGCAGGAACACCAACUGGCGAAGGCAGCCUCACUUGGCCCCGAUACCUGACGUCUGAAUCCACCUAAAGCGCUGCGGGAGGCAAAACAAGAAUUUUGAUUCCCCUGGGUUAAUCCAAUGCCCGGUAAUACAAUCGAAAUGCCCCCGCCGCUUAGUGGGGUCUUCACCUUCCCUUAGUCGGGCGCGU